rnacentral:rRNA from 1 species
CUACGGGACGCUCCAGUCGAGAAUAUUGGUCAAUGGGCGCAAGCCUGAACCAGCGACGCCGCGUGCGGGAUGAAGGCCUUCGGGUUGUAAACCGCUUUUCUAAGGGAAGAAUCCCGAUUUUUCGGGUUGACCGUACCUUAGGAAUAAACGGGUGCUAAUUCUGUGCAGCAGCCGCGGUAAUACAGAACCCGUGAGCGUUAUCCGGAUUUAUUGGGCGUAAAGGGUCCGUAGGCGGUUUUAUAAGUCUGUUGUUAAAGGCCUGAGGCUUAACCUUAGGAUUGCAACGGAAACUGUAAAACUAGAGGGCGCUAGAGGUGGAUAGAACGUUCGGUGUAGGGGUGAAAUCCGUUGAUAUCGAACGGAAUACCAAAAGCGAAGGCAUUCCACUGGGGCGACCCUGACGCUGAGGGACGAAAGCGUGGGGAUCAAAAAGGAUUAGAUACCCUCGUAGUC